rnacentral:rRNA from 1 species
GAUGAACGCUGGCGGCGUGCCUAAUACAUGCAAGUCGAGCGAACGGACGAGAAGCUUGCUUUUCUGAUGUUAGCGGCGGACGGGUGAGUAACACGUGGAUAACCUACCUAUAAGACUGGGAUAACUUCGGGAAACCGGAGCUAAUACCGGAUAAUAUUUUGAACCGCAUGGUUCAAAAGUGAAAGACGGUCUUGCUGUCACUUAUAGAUGGAUCCGCGCUGCAUUAGCUAGUUGGUAAGGUAACGGCUUACCAAGGCAACGAUGCAUAGCCGACCUGAGAGGGGGAUCGGCCACACUGGAACUGAGACACGGUCCAGACUCCUACGGGAGGCAGCAGUAGGGAAUCUUCCGCAAUGGGCGAAAGCCUGACGGAGCAACGCCGCGUGAGUGAUGAAGGUCUUCGGAUCGUAAAACUCUGUUAUUAGGGAAGAACAUAUGUGUAAGUAACUGUGCACAUAUUGACGGUACCUAAUCAGAAAGCCACGGCUAACUACGUG